GGGUUGUGAGGUUAAGCGACUAAGCGUACACGGUGGAUGCCCUGGCAGUCAGAGGCGAUGAAGGACGUGCUAAUCUGCGAUAAGCGUCGGUAAGGUGAUAUGAACCGUUAUAACCGGCGAUUUCCGAAUGGGGAAACCCAGUGUGAUUCGUCACACUAUCAUUAACUGAAUCCAUAGGUUAAUGAGGCGAACCGGGGGAACUGAAACAUCUAAGUACCCCGAGGAAAAGAAAUCAACCGAGAUUCCCCCAGUAGCGGCGAGCGAACGGGGAGCAGCCCAGAGCCUGAAUCAGUGUGUGUGUUAGUGGAAGCGUCUGGAAAGGCGCGCGAUACAGGGUGACAGCCCCGUACACAAAAAUGCACAUGCUGUGAGCUCGAUGAGUAGGGCGGGACACGUGGUAUCCUGUCUGAAUAUGGGGGGACCAUCCUCCAAGGCUAAAUACUCCUGACUGACCGAUAGUGAACCAGUACCGUGAGGGAAAGGCGAAAAGAACCCCGGCGAGGGGAGUGAAAAAGAACCUGAAACCGUGUACGUACAAGCAGUGGGAGCACGCUUAGGCGUGUGACUGCGUACCUUUUGUAUAAUGGGUCAGCGACUUAUAUUCUGUAGCAAGGUUAACCGAAUAGGGGAGCCGAAGGGAAACCGAGUCUUAACUGGGCGUUAAGUUGCAGGGUAUAGACCCGAAACCCGGUGAUCUAGCCAUGGGCAGGUUGAAGGUUGGGUAACACUAACUGGAGGACCGAACCGACUAAUGUUGAAAAAUUAGCGGAUGACUUGUGGCUGGGGGUGAAAGGCCAAUCAAACCGGGAGAUAGCUGGUUCUCCCCGAAAGCUAUUUAGGUAGCGCCUCGUGAAUUCAUCUCCGGGGGUAGAGCACUGUUUCGGCAAGGGGGUCAUCCCGACUUACCAACCCGAUGCAAACUGCGAAUACCGGAGAAUGUUAUCACGGGAGACACACGGCGGGUGCUAACGUCCGUCGUGAAGAGGGAAACAACCCAGACCGCCAGCUAAGGUCCCAAAGUCAUGGUUAAGUGGGAAACGAUGUGGGAAGGCCCAGACAGCCAGGAUGUUGGCUUAGAAGCAGCCAUCAUUUAAAGAAAGCGUAAUAGCUCACUGGUCGAGUCGGCCUGCGCGGAAGAUGUAACGGGGCUAAACCAUGCACCGAAGCUGCGGCAGCGACGCUUAUGCGUUGUUGGGUAGGGGAGCGUUCUGUAAGCCUGUGAAGGUGUACUGUGAGGUAUGCUGGAGGUAUCAGAAGUGCGAAUGCUGACAUAAGUAACGAUAAAGCGGGUGAAAAGCCCGCUCGCCGGAAGACCAAGGGUUCCUGUCCAACGUUAAUCGGGGCAGGGUGAGUCGACCCCUAAGGCGAGGCCGAAAGGCGUAGUCGAUGGGAAACAGGUUAAUAUUCCUGUACUUGGUGUUACUGCGAAGGGGGGACGGAGAAGGCUAUGUUGGC
rnacentral:rRNA from 1 species